rnacentral:rRNA from 1 species
UUUUGUUUGGAGAGUUUGAUUCUGGCUCAGGACGAACGCUGGCGGCGUGCUUAACACAUGCAAGUCGAACGGAAAGGCCCUUCGGGGUACUCGAGUGGCGAACGGGUGAGUAACACGUGGGUGAUCUGCCCUGCACUUUGGGAUAAGCCUGGGAAACUGGGUCUAAUACCGAAUACACC